CCACUUCGCACAUGAGAUGGACUUAAGUUGUCUUUCUGCAUGGAUACACUGUUCCUAGAUUGCAGCAUUUGUAUAACUUAGGCUGACAGUUUCACUGCAGUGAUUAAAACCAUCAUAUGGUUGUAUGAGGAAUGCUUCACAAAAAUGUUUCCUGUGUGGCAAAGUAUUGAAGAAACAUGUGCAGUGAAGACUUCAGCAACAUUGUUGCUGAGACAAGCAAAUGGUAGUCUCUAGUAGGUUGUGGAAAAGGACUACCAUUCAAAGGUUUUGGGGGAAUGUGAAAAUGCCUUUGUCUGACAUUUGCCUCUGUCAUGGGCAAGUCACAAAGCCAAAUAAACACCAGCAGAGAUGUGCUCAGUGUUUUUGCAUUUUAUUUGGGGGGUUCAAAGAAGUACUUUUGGGUAGCAAUUACUUCUUAAAAUAUCCAGGCAGAGAAAUACUGGUGACUCUGGAAUGAUGCAGAUUCUACUCCUACUCAGGAGGUCAUAGACACAGUAAGAACCCCUGUGUGAAAAAGGAAUGCAAAUUCCAUUUCAAAGGUCUCUCACUAAUCAUGAAAUAUUCUACAGAUGCUCCCUUUCCUGAAGUUUCCACUGUGUCUUUAGGAGAAGAUUGGUGAGGAAAAAGUACUGCGUGAUUGUGAGUGGACACAGGAGAGAAGAGAGAAGACUUGGAUCCACCUCAGGCGCCAGCUGUCCCACCUACAACUCAACAUUAUCUUUAAAGUGGAACAGAAGGUGAGGCAGUGGAUGAUUUGAAUUACGGUCUGGACUUCACGAUGGCUUGGAUGGCAGCCACAAACUGAAGCUCAGUCCAGAUAAGACCAAGAUAGCAUUGGUGGAAAGAAUCUCCUCUACAGAAGGAUGACAUCUUGUCUGUUCUGGAUGGAGUCACAUUCCUCCUGAAGGAUAAGGCAGAACCUGGCAAUGUGUGUUCAUACACUGGUAACCUCUCAUCUGGAUUAUUGUGAUGCUCUCAAUGUGGGACUUCCUUUGAAGAUGGUUUAGAAGAGUGCAACAAGGCUUCUGGCAAGGGCUGGCAGACAUGACCAUAUAAAGCAAGACCUCUGUCAUCUUCACUGGUCACCAACUGAAGUCUGGGCCCAAGUUAAGGUGUUAACACUUGUGCUUAAAGCCCUAAAUGGCUUGAGGCCAGAUUAUCUAAAGGAGUGCCUCUUCCCACAUGUGCCUGGCUAGUCCCAUUGGCCAUCAUCAGAGGUCCUUUGUAAGGAGCCUCCUCCUCUGGAAAUAAGGAGGGUGGCUACAAGGAGAAGGGCUUUUUCAGCAGUGGCAUCUCGACUUUGGCACCUCCCCAGAGAGAUUUGCCUGGCACCUUCUUUGUACUCUUUCUGGCACUAGGCAAAUACCUUUAAUUUGCCCAAUAUUUUAAUUGUUAGAAUUACUUUAAUGCUUUUAGUACAUUAUCAUUGGUUGUACUUUUUUAUUGUGCCUUUGAUAUUGUUCUUGGAUAAAUUAUGGAUCUGUGAAGUUUUAUACUGGUGUGACUUGUUUGUGGAAUUGUUAGAAUUUAUUGUUGUUUUAAUUGUUAUUUUUAAUUGCACUUUUAUUGUAUAUAUUUUAACUUUGAAACCAGCCGAGAAGACUUACGGCUAAUGGGGCAAGAUAAAAAUCUAAUAAACAUGAACCACCCAGAGAGUGUCAGCUGUUGGGUGGCAUAGAAAUAAAUAAACUUUUUCUAGUCCAGUUUGUAUGCAUGAAAAGGCAAAUAAACACUGUCUUUAUUUACCUUGUUUCUUUGUCACCCAAACAGAAUCACAGCUAUGGAAACUAAUUUCUUAGCACAGAAUUAGUAAAUUUGCACUCACAAAAAUCAAUGUGGCAUUCUGUCACAGCAUAAACUGCUGCCCAUAAUAAAAAUGGGUGACAGAAUCUGUCUUCAAAUGCUGUUACUGAAUUUAAUGAUAAAAUACUUUAUAUUCAUUUAAUGAAACCAUCAAUGGAUUUGUACUACCACCAUCUGUCUCCUUUUGCAACUUGAAUCUAAAAUCAUUUUUCUUGCUCUUCUGUCUUGUCCGUAUUUUCAACACUAUCGCAGAGGAUGAUGAAUCAUUAUAUAAUAAGAAUCUUUAUAUUUGUGAUACAGCUGUAAAGUUUCCAGCUUCAAUCCGAUUGCCUGCCUUCAGAAUUCUAGACAUGCUGCCAACAUCAUUCUAUGACAGUGGCCUCACAUUGUUCCUUGGUAGAAAUAUAGUCAGCAGCCUUUGUGCUCUCAGAUCUGCUUCUGUGCUGACCUUGCAUCAGUUUAGACCGAAACCUUGUAUAACUGCCAAGGAAUUAGGGCAGUGGGGAGUUUGGCUUGGGCAGGGUGCUUUCCUUUGGAGCCUAUUGCCAGAAAGACAAGUGGCAUUGCCUCUUACCCCUCCUUUAGACUUUAAAAAAAAGUUGUACGACUUCAGCAAAUUGUUUGAUUUGACUCUUCGGGACAAAACAAAUCUGUCUGCUCCAUUUCCAGGAUUGCUGUAGAUUUCUUGGGCUCCAUGUUUGCUCUACAGUACUUGCACUCAAGUACUAGGUCUAUAUCUGUAACCAUAUCCGUUUUUAAACCAUUUUAACCCAUCUUGAACCAUUGGAAAUAGAGCUAGACUAAGAUUUCUAGAGAUUCUCCCUGUCCCUUCCCCAUUUUUCAUCUCCUAGAAACAGAAGGUGGCAUUGCAGAAUUUGCUCCAAGUACUCUCCAUCAUUGUUUUAGAGAAGAUCUCUCUCUCUCCCUCUCCGUCUCACACACAGACUCAUGUGCACAAUGCCCUGGAACAAUGCUACGCACAGGGCAUUAGGGAGGAUACGAAAUAGUAGGCAUGGUGUUUUCAGUGGGGUUUGGUUCUGGGUAUGUAAGCAUGUGAUUGUACCGUUAAUCCUCUGGUAAGUAACAUUUUAGCCAUAUUUUUCUAAAAUGUUGGUCUGAAUUAUGUCUUCAUGAUCAAAUGUAUUUUGCAAAAGAACUUUUGUGUCCUUCUUUUCUCAGCAGUUGGGGUUUCUGUUGCCAUGUUUGGAACCCAUAUUUGAAAGCAACCCAAAUGAACUUCUAAAGCCAUGAAUGGCUUCAUUUAGUCAUUAAUUUGCAAUUAUCCCCUGAGGAUACUUGGCAGUAUAGGCUAUAGGUAAAGCAAAUUUUAAACCAUUAUUGCACAAUUAACUAAAUGAAACACUCAGCUGAUUGCUCUGAUCAGUAAUGAACUUUCACGGAAACCAGAUCAAAAUGCUGCUGUGUCAUUUGGAGAGCUAAGGCUAUGAGUUCAUGGGGGUAGGUAGUGCCUGAGUGAUUCCAGAAUAAAGUAGAGAAUGCACAGGAUCAGUCCUGAUGGAAUCCAUUUGAGAGAACAGUGAAAGAGCUAGAGUUCUAAUUCAUCAAUGGAAAUGAGAUGUCUAAAAGGCCUGGUUUUAUGGACUAGUUCAGAGGUGAACAACCUUAGGCAGUCUAGGAGUCAAUUCAGCCUCCCUGCCCGACUCCACCUAUAUUCUUGACACAGCAAAUCAGUUUGAAAACAAACCUUUUUUCCCCUUGGCAUACUUCUGUAGCUGAUGCAAGAGCUCACUGAGAAUACAUGCAGCUUCAAAACAUACCUGUUGUGUGACUCCUGUGCUCCACAUCACCAUCAUAUCUCCCCCACCCCAUAAUUAUUGGCAUCCCCAGUUUCACACUGCUAAUAGAGCAGCACCCCUCCUCUUGCCAGCAACCAAGGCAGCCUCAUUGCUUCUGUAUCACCAUUUUCAACACAAAAGCAGCAAUGCCCAUUUGGCAUGACAUUGAGCUGCAGGCUGGGCUCAGACAGAACAGGUUGUCAUUGAACCAUGUUGUCUGAACCUAGACAGGACCCAUGGUGAAUGACUCUCAGUUCACAUCCCGACAGUAAGCCAAAGGCUCUUUUCAUAUUUUUUCAUAAAUUUCAAAAAUUCAUAAAUGUUCAUAAUUUUAUUUAGUAUCUAUUUUAAAAUUAGAUUAUUGGUUUGCUGAUGGUUUAUUGUUUUAUUGUUUACUGUUUUACUGGUUAUUGUUAUUGGUCAUAUUGUGUUUAUUUUCCUUCUGUUUCCUAUUUAUAUGCUUGUAUAGAUAAUGUAUUUGAAUUCUACUGUUUUAUGGUUUUGUUUCUUAUUGUUAUUAACCUGUAUCUGUAUUUUAAAUAUAUUUAUAUUGUAUAUUGUGAGCUACACCAAGAGCCUUUGGCUAUGUUGAAUGGGGCUGAUGAGAAAUGGAGUCCAGCAGUAUCUGGUGCACCAUGCGUUCCUCAGCCCUGUCAAUAGGUUUUAUAUAGGAGAACAGAAGUAUCCUAUCGAGCACGUACAAGAUCCCAUAGUAGCUAUGGACCAAUAUAGAUGUUUGACUUGGACAGAAUUUCUAUUCCUGUAGUUAUGGAUUCUAUAAACAAGGUUCACAGUGCAUGACUUUUUCUUCUGAAAAAGAAGGGAAGGAAGGGAAGAUCAUAUCAUUUCUUCUACUGCUAGGUUAGAUGAAUGUCCACAUUAUGUUUCAUUAAAGGAUUUCAGGAUGGGGGGAAACAUCCGAAAUACUUAACCUUCCAGCAUCAGUAAAAGAAUUUGAGCCCAUGCAAGUUCUAUACUGGAGACGUCUUAAAGUGAACUGCAUGAUUGGUGCUUAUGAAUCACUAAAGCAGAGGACACUGGUUUGCAUACAUUUUGCACAAACUAGUCUAUAUGCAUAACUGAAAAUUUAGAAUUAUUAUAAUUUAAAUAAAAAUACACCACAUAGUGGGAGAUGAACAGGUUACCUCCAUGUCUGCUCACUGCACAGAUGCAAACUGUUAAUGGGCAACUUCAAGGCUUCUGCUUUUCUGCCAAUGAUAUUUUGACUUUAUUUGACACCUGAACUAGAGAUUUCCUCAAAUAGUGGACC